rfam:Ciona intestinalis ciona0118, whole genome shotgun sequence.
GCCGGGCGUUGUUGCAUACGCUUGUAAUCCAGUUACUUGGAGGCUUGGGUUGUGGGACUACGUGAGAUUGGGAGACCUGUGCUGCUUCGAUCUAUGUCGAUCGCGCGUCCCGUCUAAGCGCGGCGUCAAUAUGGAUAUCUCAGGGUAGCCUGUGGUGACCAGGUUGUCUAAGGAGGAACGAACCGGGCGAGGCCUGAAAGGGAGCAGCCAAAAGUUCCCACGUUGAUCAGUAGCGGGAAAGCGCCCGUGAAUAGGCGAAGUGUUACAGCCUAGUCAAUAUCGCGGAACCGAUUAUUU